UACAGAGGGGGCAAGCGUUGUUCGGAAUUACUGGGCGUAAAGGGCGCGUAGGCGGCCGCCUAAGUCAGACGUGAAAUCCCCGGGCUCAACCCGGGAACUGCGUCCGAUACUGGAAGGCUUGAAUCCGGGAGAGGGAUGUGGAAUUCCAGGUGUAGCGGUGAAAUGCGUAGAUAUCAGGAGGAACACCGGUGGCGAAGGCGGUUCUCUGGGCAUUACCUGACGCUGAGGAGCGAAAGUGUGGGGAGCGAACAGG
rnacentral:rRNA from 1 species